GCUACAGUUACAAAUGACAGUGAAUGGUCAGAUGUAUACAAUUGUGAUUAACAAUCCUCAACAAUACAUCAAACAAAAAUGCCUAUUAAACUUUCUCACAGACAGUCAAAGGUUGAAAACAAAUCAGAAGUGGUCCACAUCUUAAAAAACCUCACAGCAGAUUAAGAUUUUCCCCGAAAUUUCCCUGUAAAACCCGCAGUGGUAUGUCCAGUGCAGUAGAUACUGCCUGGCACAAAAGAGGAUUUGACAGUUUAACAUUGUACUGCACCAAUAAACUAAAUAUGGAGAGUAGCUUAGUCACUAAAGCAGUCAACACCAAAAUACACACAAUGGCCAGGGCACUGAAACUUGGAAGAGUGAAAGAGUAAAGUAGUGCGUUUUUAGCUAACAAAGUGACAUUGCGAGCUUUUGUCUAUCUUUCGUCCCUAAACUUGAUCUUUAAACAACAUCUCAUAAAUUGCCAAGCCAAUUUCAUGCAAACUUACGAUAUUGUCUAGUCAGUUUUUGUUUUGCUUGCAAUCGUUAUAUGACAUGACUAAAGACAUUUAGUUUUAUUCUUAAGUUAUUAUGUUUAUGUUUGUAUAAGACCCAAAUAUAUU